CGCACGGGUGCGUAACGCGUGGGAAUCUGCCCUUGGGUUCGGAAUAACAGUUAGAAAUGACUGCUAAUACCGGAUGAUGACGUAAGUCCAAAGAUUUAUCGCCCAAGGAUGAGCCCGCGUAGGAUUAGCUAGUUGGUGAGGUAAAGGCUCACCAAGGCGACGAUCCUUAGCUGGUCUGAGAGGAUGAUCAGCCACACUGGGACUGAGACACGGCCCAG
rnacentral:rRNA from 1 species